UACGAAGGGGGCUAGCGUUGUUCGGAUUUACUGGGCGUAAAGCGCACGUAGGCGGAUUGUUAAGUUAGAGGUGAAAUCCCGGAGCUCAACUCCGGAACUGCCUUUAAUACUGGCAAUCUCGAGUCCGGAAGAGGUAAGUGGAACUCCUAGUGUAGAGGUGGAAUGCGUAGAUAUGAGGAAGAACACCAGUGGCGAAGGCGGCUUACUGGUCCGGUACUGACGCUGAGGUGCGAAAGCGUGGGGAGCAAACAGG
rnacentral:rRNA from 1 species